rnacentral:piRNA from 1 species
UAUUUGCGGGCCCUGAGGAUGGGGG